rnacentral:rRNA from 1 species
CCUACGGGUGACAGCAGUGGGGAAUAUUGCGCAAUGGGCGAAAGCCUGACGCAGCGACGCCGCGUGAGGGAUGAAGGUCUUCGGAUCGUAAACCUCUGUUAGCAGGGAAGCACGGUCACUGUGCUAAUCAGCAGUGAAUUGACGGUACCUGCAAAGGAAGCACCGGCUAACUCCGUGCCAGCAGCCGCGGUAAUACGGAGGGUGCGAGCGUUAAUCGGAAUUACUGGGCGUAAAGCGCUCGUAGGCGGUAUGUCAAGUCUAGGGUGAAAUCCCCGCGCUCAACGUGGGAACUGCCUUUGAAACUGGCAAACUGGAGUGUGUGAGAGGAUAGUGGAAUUCCAGGUGUAGGAGUGAAAUGCGUAGAUAUCUGGAGGAACAUCAGUGGCGAAGGCGACUAUCUGGCACAUAACUGACGCUGAGGAGCGAAAGCGUGGGUAGCAAACAGGAUUAGAUACCCUGGUAGUC